rnacentral:lncRNA from 10 species
UUUGGCUAGGAAAAGGAAAUCCCCGACCGCUUGCACUUCCUGGCUGAGGCAAUGCCCCACCCUGCUUCGGCUCACACUCCGUGGGCUGCACCCACUGUCCAACAAGCCCCAGUGAGAUGAACCCGGUACCUCAGUUGGAAAUGUAGAAAUCAUCCAUCUUCUGCAUCGGCCAUCUUGGAAGCAGAAGAUUAUCUGUAUGCACAUUUCAUCCGGUUCUCAGAUAUCGUCACUUGUUCACCACAGUAGAAGACUCAGAAAUACCCAUGGCAACACACUGGAGAUCCUCACUGCCUCAAGGGCAGAGCUGGUUUGAACACGGCCUUUCCAUUGCUUCACUGCCCGCCAUUCACCCUCAAGGUCCAUUCUGUGCCAAGGCAUUGCAUGUUCUCAAGGCAAUGACCCUGGAGAAUGAAUAGCCAUGUGUGGCAGUAUAAGUGCUUGGAAGGUGACUUAGCCCAUUUGAACAAUAAAACUGUCUUUUAAACAGGUCACAGUUUGUCUCAGAAAUAUUUUUUAAGGUUCCAAUAGAAAAAGAGUUGAACAGUGGAAACUAAAGUAUGAAACACAUCUCUAAAAAUAAGGAAACUAGUGUGUCCGUUCCUCUCCCCAGCUAGUUUGUUUAAUUCUCUCUCACACUCUAUGUAUUACUACUCCCAAGAAAAAACUAGGAUCCUUUUUAAUUAAAACAUAAUCUUAUUAAUAAGACAAACAAGGUCCUCCAGAAAAUUUCCUAUUUUUCCAGAGCAUGUUUUUUUUUUGAGAAACACUCAAAUUAUUAGUUUUGCGAAAGAAGAAAAUAGUGAACAAAACAUUUUCAGCUCUCCUAUCACACUGUAACAUGGCAUUCCACAUAAUUGCCUUUUUGUGUUCACCUUAGGUCUUGAAGUUCCUCUACUACCAUGUCCAUAAGCAAAGGCUACAAUCCUUAGGACUUAGAACACUUGAUAUCUCUCAAUCCUCUCUCCUAGGUUUUCCUCAGCAAGAAAAGCACCACUCAUUUGUCAAUCCUUAAUCAUAACAACCCUGUUAUUUUAUGACAGUCAUAAAUUUAUUCUGCUGUAUCUCCAACUAAAUUAUAAACCCUGAUAAAAAGUUUGUCUGAUUCAUUUUUCUAUCCUGAAGUUUAACACAGUGCCUGGCAUAGAGCUGGCAUUCCAUAAGUAUAUAAUGAAUUAUACAAAAGAAAAUGCAAUUAAAUCAUA